UACGUAGGGGGCAAGCGUUGUCCGGAAUCAUUGGGCGUAAAGAGCGUGUAGGCGGCCUGGUAAGUCCGCUGUGAAAGUCCAGGGCUCAACCCUGGAAUGCCGGUGGAAACUGUCAGGCUCGAGUCCGGAAGAGGCGAGUGGAAUUCCUGGUGUAGCGGUGAAAUGCGCAGAUAUCAGGAGGAACACCAAUGGCGAAGGCAGCUCCGCUGGGACGGUACUGACGCUGAGACGCGAAAGCGUGGGGAGCAAACAGG
rnacentral:rRNA from 1 species